ACUUUACAAUGCGGGAAACCGUGACAGGGGGAUCCCAAGUGCUCAUGCAUUGCAUGGGCUGUUCUUUGGUCUAAGUAACCAGAGGAGUAAGGGCUGGGCAAGACCGGUGCCAGCCGCUCGCGGUAAUACCGGCAGCUCAAGUGGUAGCCGCGAUUAUUGGGCCUAAAACGUUCGUAGCCGGAUAAGUAAGUCUUUGGUUAAAUCCUGCGACUUAACCGUGGGAAAUCUAGAGAUACUGCUUGUCUUGAGACCGGGAGAGGUUGGAGGUACUCCUAGGGUAGGGGUGAAAUCCUGUAAUCCUAGGGGGACCACCUGUGGCGAAGGCGUCCAACUGGAACGGGUCUGACGGUGAGGGACGAAACCUAGGGGAGCGAGCCGGAUUAGAUACCCGGGUAGUCCUAGGCGUAAAUGAUGCGAGUUAAGUGUGGGGGCAUCUACGAGAUGGCCCUGUGCUGUAGGGUAGCCGUUAAACUCGCUGCC
rnacentral:rRNA from 1 species